CGACUUGCAAAAAAUAUACACAAGAAUAAAAAAGGAAACUGUAAGUCUUACAGAUUUUCCGAUGUCAUUCUCAGCCGUCGAUUAAUGCAAACGCGUCAAAGGAUAAUAAGAACGAGCAACGCCGACAACGAAUACGAAAUGGGAAAGUGCGGUCUCAUUGUUUUAUGUAUUUAACCGUAAAUAAAUUUGAAUAAUUUUUUAAGCCAUAAAAUGUUUUUUAAAAAUAUGAAUGCGGAAUGAGAACAAAAAUUUAUCAGAUUUCACACUUACGGGGUACAAUGGGCACAAUUGGAAAUUAUAACAACAAUAAGAAUGAGAAGUAAAGCAAAAGUCGAGAAAAUUCAGAGGGAAAAAAAUUCUCAAAGGUCAACUGCUGGGUGAAACGAUUAAUGCGUGCAUCCUUAUUUCGAGAGGACUGCAUACGAUUUUGAAAUGAAACGAUGAAUUUUACCCCGAUUCACGAGACUGUAAUAGUGUAAUAUAAUAACACAUAACAUUAUUAAACGCAUUCUAUACAACAAUGGA